rnacentral:rRNA from 1 species
AUUGAACGCUGGCGGCAGGCCUAACACAUGCAAGUCGAGCGAGUGGCGGACGGGUGAGUAAUGUAUGGGGACUGCCCGUUAGAGGGGGAUAACUACUGGAAACGGUGGCUAAUACCGCAUACUCUCGGAUAACCCAUAUGGGAUUAGCUGGUGGGUGGGGUAAAGGCUCACCUAGGCGACGAUCUCUAGCUGGUCUGAGAGGAUGAUGGGCAACACUGGAACGGUGACACGGCCCAGACUCCUAGGGAGGCAGCAGGGGGGAAUAUGGGACAAGGGGGAAAAGCCGGAGACAGCCAUGCCGCGUAUAUGAAGAAGGCCUUAGGGUUGUAAAGUACUUUCAGCGGGGAGGCGUUACCCGCAGAGGAAGCACCGGCUAACUCCGUGCCAGCAGCCGCGGUAAUUC